GUAACCCCGCCUUUGCCAGUUAAGUGCUAAUUUUAAUACACAGAAAAAGACCUGUAACGGGCAAACGGAGCAGCGGAUCCGGGCAAGAUAUAGCCAGGAGAAGUGUACGGCAGCAUGUUUAUCUUCCCAGCUUGCAGUUCAAUCCAACUCAUUACAGGAAAGUCAUCUGGUGUCCAGAAUAAUAGCAGAUAAUGAGACUAUACCCAACAUAUAGAAAAAGAAAAGAGGAUGUGACUAGAGGAUAAGACAUGAUGUUACAGCAGAAUAGACUUGAAAUCAUGGUCGAUAACACUUUUGAGUCCCACACAAAAUGAUAUACGUUCGCAUAUGUGCCAAACGUAUGCCAGAAAAUAUGUUUUGUGUUGGAUAGGUUUGAACCCUGCCUGAGACAGG